UGUUAGCCGUUGCUUCAAGCUAACGGCUACUCUUGAGUCAGUCAAGCACAUGAAAACAAGCGCACACACAGGACAUGGCUCGUUUCCUAGUUUACAAUAUGUGAAAACAACAACGCAUAGUCCUUCUGUGAACGUGUUGAGUGAACAUGAACCUCAAGGAUGUGUCAUUAAAAUGAAUGCGGAAGCAAUUGAAUGAUUUUGUGAAAAAGAACUGAAUGAUUCGGUGAACAAAUUGCUUGAAUGAAUCUUUUAAACAAACUGAUUCCAAUGAUUCAGUACACUCAAAAGAACUGCCGUGCCCAUCACGACUGCACGGUUGAGCUUGGAAAACCACUGCGUACGUACGUCAGUCAUCGUUCUCACCAAGUCGUCAAGUAAACUGAUCACCCCUCUUAUACUUAUAUUCGAUUGUACAUUCCCAAAAAUAUAACAUCAAACUGGUAACAUUUCGUGAAACAUUGUGGAUUCGUGUCUGACCCUGAGGCACACACUGAGGCGGCCGCAGGCGAGUGGGAUGCAGCGGUCCCUUCCUCCAGGCCAAUUCCAACGGGCUGUCGACACGCUCCCAGACGAUCGAGACGCGCUCUGAGGCGGCCGAGCCACGUCGGCGUGACGAACCCGUCUCUUCCUGGUUCUGAGACGUGAGGUCGCAGAGGCAGGGACUGAAAUUAGGCUACAUCCAUAUAUUGCUAGCGGUUAUAGAAACCGCAUACUGUCCCUUUAAGUGCCUCUCCAGGCGGUCACACAGCACAGACGCACUUUGGUCCUCCUCCCUCUUUUGUUUUGCAGCCAGCGUGACACAGCACAGAACGAAGGACCUGAAGCAUGGCAGCGAGGACGACGAGCGCUGUGCGACUUGAUUAUCAGGCUGAAAAUGAUACAAUGGCAGUCUGUAAAAAGGGGGUCAACUAUUGUGGACCCCCAACAUCGAUUAUAAUAACUUUUAGGGGAGCGUCAAUCAUUCACUAAUGGCGAUCAGCCUUGGUCUCUAUCCCCUGCGAAUAGCGGGGGCCAACUGUGUCCCUCUUAAUGUUUGUAUCAGAAUAUAACGAGUUCAAGUCCAGGCUGCACACUGCGCUUACAAAAUCAGGGGGCUUAGCCGACAACUGCUCGCACCCCUAACCAGCGUGGACCAGACAGCAAAGUUGGUGUGAAGACAAAUGUCGGAUUUGGGUUGAUCUUCAAACUGGCAAAAAUUCGAAUUGUCUGGCAAAGCAAGAAGCAAAAGUAAGCCACCAUUAAAUGGCUGCGAUAGCUGAGAACAUCUGUUAUGUUACAUAUGUUCUGAAAACUGAAACGGCAGAAUAAACACACUCAUCGCCCGUCUGAGCCUGAAUAUCUUGACAAGUGAACAAAUCAUCAUUCAUCUUGACAAAAUCUUUACAUCAAAUGGUUUCAUUUUAAUAUUUGAUGCAUUGGAUACAAUAAUUUGUAUUAUUUCGAGUCCCAUCUUUUGACCUCAUCAAAUGACGCAGAGAGAAAAAGAUAGAAGAAGAUACUGUAUCUUUGUAUCAAUGACAAAGACCUCCCAGAGGAGCAAUUUGAGACAUAUGUAGGACAGAGAAAGGAUUAUAAAUAGAGGAGUUAAAAAUAUUCCACAAGAGUAUUUGACAGCUUCUGUUCUUACUGUUGAACAGUCCCUUCACUUGUCGGCAAAGAGCAAACGGUGAGGGAGGAGAAAGAAGGCGCUUAAUGAAGUCAUCUCAGGAAGGAAAGUCUUGAGUCCGAGAUGGGACCUUUACCAGAGGGAUUUAUAUAUGGAUCUGAUAUGCAACUUUUUGAAUCCCUGGGUCCCUCGGUGCGGGAUGUGUCCCGUCCGCCGGGCUGCUCUUGGGUGGACUCCCGGGCCCGAUCCUGCCUCUCGAUUAAUUGGAUGAGGUCCUCAGCCACCACGGUGCAGGCACAGCAAUUACAGGACACUUCUUCUGCAUGCGAAACGGUGUCAAUUCACUUGCAUGUGUCCACAGGCAACUACUCCUGGGACUUUUUCGCCGGGUGUUUGGCCACUCACUUAUUGCGACAAAUAACUCAUGAAUAUGCAAAUUGCUUGGUUAUCCCCUCACUCACACUCUCGUCCUAUAGACUUUUAUCAUUUCCAUAGUCACUCCCACCACACUUCGGUUGUACAGCCGGGUUCACGACCCUUGUCCUGCAUGCUUCUUCUCCUGUUCUUGUCCUGUCUUUCCCUCACAGCCUGUAGCACUACUGCCCCAUACAAAAACUCAUAUCUAAAGUUUCAUUGUUCUCGACAUAUAAUGAUUUACAAUUAGUGCUUGGUCUUUUGUCUUCUUUUCUCACUCCCCUCUAGAAACUUUGUUCUAUUCGACUGAUCGACUCUGAUUCUCAAUAAAUAUCCAUUACAAUACUAAGAAACCACAGCGACCGCUUAAAAUCUCCACUGUCACAGUAAAACUGUUCCGGCAUAAAAGGGAUACGGAUCCUCCAUUCUGCUGACCUAACAGCCAAACAGGACAAAAAAACCUUCUCUUUGGCCUUCCUCUAGCUCACUUGCCUGGAAGCUCCAUCCUCAUCAUCCUUCUACCAAUAUACAGUGGAACCUCGAUUUACCGGACCCCAAUUUAACGGAUGUCGGAAGUAAGGGACAGUGUGGACAGUACGUGUCCAAAACUAGUUUCCAGUUGUCACUUAAAGAAGCCCUGGCAAAGUCUCUUAGUUCCUGAAUUGGCCGCUGUUGUUUACGGGCUCUGUGGCACAAUAUAGGCAGAGACUGGGACAUAUGUAUUUCCGGGUCCCAGAUCUACAAUAUUACUAGAUCCAACUAACAGACGUGCCUCCCGUGCCUGUGUGGUGGCCAUGCUGAAUGUGGCAAUGCAUUGAUAUUUCGCUGCCAUGUUGGAUGUGUCAAGAUUUCCAGGCUAUGCAUUGACGUGGCAGCCAUGAUGGCAGAAGUUGGAUCUAUUGUCGCGUAUACAGUAGCUCUGAGCGGAGAGAGCGCAGCAUUGAAGCGAUGUUAACUUUAAGAGGAAUACGAUACACAUGUAUCUGGGGUCUGCAACAUGCUAUUUGUGGUACAGUAACAUUUACUUUACCUUAUUAGUCCAUUAAAUGGAGGUUCCACUGAACUUGCUAUCUCUCCUCUGGACGUGUCCGAACCAUCCACGUCUGUUCACUCGAACUUUGUCUCCAAAACAUCGAACCUCGGCCGUCCCUCUGAUGAGCUCAUUUCUAAUUGGAUCCAACCCGGUCACUCCGAGAGAGAAACCUCAACAUCUUCAUCUUUCCGCCACCUCCAGCUCUGCUUCUCUAAUCGGUACAUCAUGGCUGACCUCAGCACUGCCUUAUAAACUUUGGCCUUCAUCCGAGUCGAGACCCGUGUGUCACAUAACACACCUGACACCUUCCUCCACCCGUUCCAACCUGCUUGGACCCGCUUCUCCACUUCCCGACCACACUCACCAUUGCACACAAAUUUAAAUAUGUAAAGGCACAACAAAAUAACUUCAAACACUCGGGACUCUCAGUUACGUGGUCUAGUUGCAGUGAUUCUCAGCAACUGGUGGAUUGGGACCCAAAAAUGAGGAAAUUACAAUACGCUUCUUUUUUUUCCCCCCUGAAUCCUGACUGUCUAACAGGAAAAGACUCACCUGUUCCUGUUUUAGGUCAAUUGGGAUUUACAAAACUAUUUCUAUUUGCUAAAUACUAGAAUAAUGAGGAUAUGAGGUUAUUUUAUUUUAAAUAUAAAAUAGACAAUAUAGUCAUUGUCCCGUGAGGUGCCAGUGUUUUUACCCAUGACUGUAUGUGAUUAUCAUCAUUAUGUUUUAUGUAUCUAGACAACAACAGUAUCUUCAAUACAUCCAUCCAUUUUCCGAGCCGCUUCUCCUCACUAGGGUCACUAGCCUAUCCCAGCUAUCAUCGGGCAGGAGGCGGGGUACGCCCUGAACCGGUUGCCAGCCAAUCGCAGGGCACACAGGAACAAACAACCAUUGGCACUCACAUUCACACCGACGGGCAAUUUAGAGUCGUCAAUUCAUGCAUGUUUUUGGGAUGUGGGAGGAAAGCGGAGUGCCCGGAGAAAAGCCACGCAGACACGGGGGGAACAUGCAAACUCCACACAGGCGGGGACGGGGCCGGGGAUUGAACCCCGCUCCUCAGAACUGUGAGGCAGACGCUGUCGCCAGUCGUCCAAUCUUCAAUACAACUCUGGUCAAUUUAAAGCUUUUAUGUGCUGCAGAUACUCAUGCAAAGAUUUCCCGUGUUGGGGACACACAGCUAUUUUGGACUGCCUCGUGGAUGACUUCAUGGCUGUGCCCACCACAGAGGAAGAAAAUUGCUGCGGUGGGAUUUUCCUCUCUGCUGUGGAGCAUUGAAUGGGAAGCGUGUGGUCUUCCAAGUUCCAAGCCAACUCCGGAUCCAAGUUGUACAGAUUAAGAGCCACCCACGCAUACUUGAAAAUUCCUGCAAUCAGCAUCUAAAUGAUUGCCCCUGUUUGUAUACACGUCAACAAUUCAUUUGCAUAUCAUUAUGAACAUUGUCUGCCUCUGUAUUUUAGCCAUGAUAUAUUGUAUUUAAUUGAUUGUAUAAUAUGGUGAGGCAAUAAAGCACCACUUUUGAAAUUGCUCCACUGUAAAAUGCAUGAACCGCAUUUAACAAGGAACCAAACAAAACUAAUUGUACGCAAUAGUAAAAUACUGAAAUAAACCGGACAACGAUGU